AUGACGCGCCGAAGCCGGGAACGCCGCGCGGCCGCCGGCGACGGAGACCCCGCCGGCCCCCCGCAUUACGCCCCCGACGAGGAGCGCCGCCUCGCCGAGGAGGUGCUCUACCUCCACUCCCUCUGGCGCAGGGGCCCGCCCGCCCCCGCCCCCGCCGGGCCUCCCGCGCCACCCGCCGGAGGCUCCCGCGCCAGCGCCGGAGGCUCCCGCCCCAACCAGCGGAAGCGCCGCAGGACCGAGCGCACCGCCGCGGAGCCCGAGGAACCCGGCGCCGACUGGCCCCUCGCGCCCUCCCCGCCCGCCUCCCCAUCCCCCGCCUCCUGGCCCGACGCCGCCCCCUCCUCCCCCGCUCCCAGGCCGCCGCCGCAGCAGCAACCUUCCCCCGCCUCGCUCGCGCAGCGGGACGCCCUCCGCGCCGCCGAGGAGUUCUUCUCCGCGCGCGGCUCCUCGGGCGAGGACGGCGACGGCGAGUCCGAGGGGUCCGAGUCGGAGGACGGCGGGGACGCGGCGGCGGGGUUCUUCCUCGGGCUGUUCGAGCGGGACGCCGCGCUGCGGGGGUACUACGAGCGGUGCCACGAGGAGGGGGAGUUCCGGUGCAUGGGGUGCGUGGGGAGGAAGAGGAAGGGCAGGGGCCAGGCCAGGAGGUUCCGGGACUGCAAAAGCCUCGUGCACCACGCGCGCGACGCCACGCGCUGCGGGAGGCCGCUGGCGCACCGCGCGCUCGCCGCCGCCGUCUGCCGCGUUCUCGGCUGGGACGUCAAGCGGCUGCCCAGCAUCGUCAUCGACCCCUGCGGCACGCUCGGCCAGGCGCUGCUCGCCAGGGAGGGGGCGAGUGCCGCCGCUUCCACCGCCCAGGAGGCAAAGGAGAAUGUUGAUAGUGUGGACAAUGAUGGCAUGGAUGCAGUGAAGGAGGAUGUUGGUUUGGACAAGAACGGCUCCUUGAAUGAUGACAGGAAGGAGGAUGUUGAUAGUAGAAUGAAUGAGGCCGCAUUAAGUGAUGGGGAUGGAGCAAAGGACGGUGUUGAUACAGGGAAGAUUGGCUCUCCAAGUAAUGACAAUGAUGGAGAGGUUCAUGGGCAAGACAAUGAUACAAGAACUGUUGAAAAGGAAGGUGCUAUUGGCAAUAAACAGGAGCAUCCUAAGAGUGCAGAUGCUAUGGGGGGCACUUGUGAUGUCAGACCAGAAAACAAUUCAUCAAAGGAAGAAGCUGCUACAGAGAAUAAGGAGGAGCAUACUGACGGUGUUGUUGACUCCGGAGAUGAUAUUGGUAACUUGGGAGACAAUUUAGUGGACUCAUCAAAGAGUUGA
rnacentral:rRNA from 1 species